rnacentral:lncRNA from 1 species
CUAAGAUCUAGUGGAGCCGGAACCCACUUGAAAGUGACCAUCCUGUAAAAUAAGGUAAUUUUUAUGUUUGCUAUAAUUUCUGAACACAACAAAACCAAAGGGUGGUCUGGAAAUCCUUAGCCAGAUCAGAAGAAAAGACUGGAAACAAACCAAGAUACUGUUCUUCUGAACAUGCUGACACCACCCAGUUUUAAAGAGUGGGCAUUUAUAUUCCAGUUGCAAGCCAGGAUAGUAAUUGCCUUGUUUAAACAGAUACUCCUAGUAAGAUCACUUUUCUCUCUUAGCAGACCAACCCGCUGCCCCUAAGAGAGACAGCCUCUGAAGGAAGAUGCUCAACUGUUUAUCAAGCUCCCCCACGCAUGUCUGUCUCAAGAGCACCAGUGAGAGGCAGGAGUUUGCCUCUCGUUGCCCCAUCUGGUGGCGAGCCUGGAGGGCUGCAGGCUGUUGGAGCCCUGAGCCAGGUCAACCCCAACCUGGGUCUUCUCCCAGGACCAGGAGCAAGCAGAGGAAGCCAAUAUACCUGGAGGACAGCAAUGACAAAGUUCACUGGGCUGGAGUGAGAGACGACCGGACUUAACGUCUUAUCAAUUUGGUCAGCUUAGGAAAUUCUUUGUCUUUUUGUACUUCAUUUUCUUCUUGGAAAAAAAGUGGGUUACUGUGAGAUUUUGUGAAGUUGUGUCAAGGUAAAAGCACCCAGAAGAGCAGGCAGUGGAUCCUGUGGUCUCAGUAAAGGAGUCACCCCUCUUCCUUGUUUCCCUCCCCACCUCCACCCUGUAUUUCCCCCCUAACACGACUGUGUAUCUGGCCAGAAGUUACUUCUGCUAUAGGCACUAUAGCUGGGAACAAGAGUAAGAACCUGUGUGGGAAUAGUAGGAUCAAGGCAUGGAGCCCUCAGUGGAUCUGGGACACCACCAAGGUCCUGCCUUUCUGCAAUGUGAAGCCUUCCUGGAACUUUCUGUUUCACAAGAGGGGGGACAUUCUCCAUCACCUUAGACAUCCAGGCAUAGGAAAUUAUAUGUUUCUAAUUUGGGAGUUGAUGGUGGGAUUUGAACCUGGGGCUGUGUGCUUGUUAGGUUGUUCUAUAUUAUUAUUAUUAUUAUUAUUAUUAUUAUUAUUAUUAUUACCAUUAUUUAGGGACAGGGUCACUUUAUGUAGCUGUAGCUGGUAUUAAGCUCAUACAGAUCCUCUCUUCCUCUUGAAUGCUGGCAUUAAGUGUGUGUGCCACCAUACCUGGCUGUAUCACUAAUUUAUAAGGUCCUGUCCAGGUCUGGGCUAUUACUAAUUUUAUGAGCUAAAGCAACAUUUACAAGAACAAAAGUCAAAAGCACAAGUGACUGAAUAUCUUGAGGAAGACAAGCAUUACACACAUAUAGACCUUAUCAUGUGGGUUAAAGGUGAGAGGGAGGGCAAAUGAUUCCUACAUAUUGGAAACAACAAAAUAUUAAUAUUUUCCUCUCAUGGAUUUUUCUUAAACAAAACAAUAGAAUGGUCUCUUGACAGAAAACUUUGGGAUCUAGGCAUGUGUCUGCCUGCAGAAGGUGGCUUUGGCAGGAAUCUUGCUCUUCCUGUAGCUGUUG